UGACUAGGCUACCCUUGUUGAAAGAACCAACUAGCAUUCUUGAUCUAGCCUCCUAGGCACAACACAGCACUUGAUUAGGUGUGGCUGCUAAGUAAAAGACUAGAGAUCAAAGAUCAUCAACUUGGGUUUCUACAAUAUCUGGCAGAAAUGACUGGAGAAGCCUCAGUGAAAGUUAUGGAAAAUAAUGCUCGAAUCUGGAUCAAGAGUUCCCAGCAGAAUGUUUUUGAGAAAUAACAUCCAGUAUCUCAUUCCCUGGGCAGGCAUCUUUAUACCAUGGUAUAAAGAACAGCGGCCUUGGUUGAAAAAGUUUAUCUGGUCAGGACAGACUGCUAGCUAGUCUGCUCCCCUAAAGAUACCACAGCCUGAAGGCAUCACAUGAGUUUCCCUGCACCCUGGGCAACUGGUAAGGACCCACCCAAAGGCCUACAACAAAUGAGAUAAAGAAUUCCUGUCUGGGGCUCAAGGAACAAAGUGGUUAUCCUGACAAAAGCUAUCUUUAGCAUUUGUUAUCCAGUCUCUGUGUUGUCUGUCUUGUCUCUGUAGGCUCGAUCAUUUGAGCGAUCACUUUUGAAGUUGAUGUACAUACAUAAUUUGGAGAAUUCAGUAGCUGAGAUGGUCUGUGAGAGUGAAUCACUGGGGAUACUUGCCUUGUGAAGACUUUCAUUUCAUAGCUGAUAAGAGGUUUUCCUCGGUCAGAUCUAAUCUUUAGAAGCUUUGUUGGUAACCCUAUUUUCAUUCUCCAUAGGUACAUAAGCAUAACUAUGUCUCCAUCUUAAAACUACUGCAAGUUUCUAUUCUAAUGUCAACAAAUCCUUAUAGUAUAUUGGAUGGCCUACUUCCUCAGUUUUUUUCAAUAACCCAAUGUCUCUCAACUGCUUUUAUUCCUUUUUUUUGCCAACAUUAAGGAAAUUUAGAGUUAACAAGGUGUUAUUUAGUCUGUCCUGGGGAUUUUUACUCUUCUGUUUUGUUUGAUAAGCAUGUCUUUUAAGGUACAGCUAGAUCCUUCUAUCUAUAACUGCUGGUCCUAUGGGAUUGUGUGGUAUACAGGUAACAUGCUUUAUAUUAUAAUAUACAUAGAAUUACUUCAUUCAUUGUAUAUAUAUGUGGAAGCAUUAUCAAUUUUAACUUUUGCAAAUAUCUCCUAUAAAUGCCAUGAGUUACAUAAAUAGUAAUAACACAAUCAGCCUUUUUAGAACUUAAAGCAGCUGCCUACUGAAACACUCAGUAUGUGUCAAUGGUAUAGUAUACACACAUUUGAUUUCCAAAUCCUGCAAAAUGGAAAACAUUCAUUUGCCACAUAUAACUUCUUUUGGUACCUCUAGGGUUAUUACCAGCAGGUAACAGGAUUUGGUAGUAUAGAAAUUAUUGAGGACAUUUUUUAAAUCAUUUCUUUGGCUAGAUGCCAAGUGAUGGAAAAUUUUAUUCUUUAAAACCUUCCUCAUUAAUAUGAGGUCUCUCAUGAAGUUUUGGGGCUUCUAAUACCUUUACUUCUGAGUAAUACAUAGCAUAUGGUUUCUACUUCUAAUGGCCUGUUGCAAAUGUGUAAAUAAGGUUAUUUCUGAGUUACCAGGUACAAAUUCAGCAGUAUCUAUUUGCAAAACAACUCUUUCUGCAUAUAAAUAAUCAGGGAUUAUUUUAAGAAAUUUACCAAAAUCUAAUAAUACCAUAAUGAUUGGAAUUAAUUCUGACCUUUUAAAUGAUGGAUAUGGACCUUUGAGCAUCUUGCUUAUUUUCUCUGAUUUAUAAGCAGCCAUUCCCAUUUGUUUGCAUUUUUAGAGAAUGUUGGUGACUCUGGAAUUGGUGUUCCAUUUAUGAUAAGUGGAAGAAUUUAAUUAGUUCUUUUUAUAAAAUCUAUGCACUU
rnacentral:lncRNA from 1 species